GUGCGACUUUUCGAUCUCUCUGCCCUUCCCCAGAAAGAUGCAGAAGACAAUGGUUCAUUAAUGGAAACAUGGGCAAAUGUCAAGUAGGUUUAUACUGGAGAUGCCGUGGCUGUGGAUUGAUUUUUAUGACCCUUGAAGUAUGAAAAUAUGCCCAUGAGGGAUAGUCAAGAUCAUUACAUUCCAUGCUACCCAAAACCUGUAACAUCAAUUCUCCUCUAGAUAAUGUCACAUGAUGGCAAAUAUCCUGCAACCUAUGUUAAUAAAUACAUCAGCCAGUUCGCCUAGAACGUCGGACAUCCAGUAUUGUCUUCUGGCAGAGUCCACCGGAACCCAAAUAAUUAGCGUUAGGGGCAUCAGUAAAUCAGAUAGGUACAGCCUUACAGAAACAUAAUAUGUGAAUGGUGCCUCCAAGUUCCUUUAAGAGUGUGUGUAACAAUCUCCUCAACUAUAAGACCUUAUAUGUAACUGACAACCAACAUGGAGCUAAAGAAAAAGGAUAAGUGUUGAUGAGG